UACGGGGGGAGCAAGCGUUGUUCGGAUUUACUGGGCGUAAAGGGCGCGUAGGCGGCCCAGCACAAGUCAGUUGUGAAAUCUCCGAGCUUAACUCGGAAAGGUCAACUGAUACUGUGCGGCUAGAGUGCGGAAGGGGCAACUGGAAUUCUUGGUGUAGCGGUGAAAUGCGUAGAUAUCAAGAGGAACACCUGCGGCGAAGGCGGGUUGCUGGGCCGACACUGACGCUGAGGCGCGAAAGCCAGGGGAGCGAACGGG
rnacentral:rRNA from 1 species